rnacentral:rRNA from 1 species
AGCGAACGCUGGCGGCAGGCCUAACACAUGCAAGUCGAACGAACCCUUCGGGGUUAGUGGCGGACGGGUGAGUAACACGUGGGAACGCGCCUUUAGGUUCGGAAUAACUCAGGGAAAUUUGUGCUAAUACCGAAUGUGCCCUUCGGGGGAAAGAUUUAUCGCCUUUAGAGCCGCCCGGGUCUGAUUAGGUAGUUGGUGGGGUAAAGGCUCACUAAGGCUACGAUCAGUGGUUGGUCUGAGGGGAUGACCAGCCACACUGGGACUGAGACACGGCCCAAGCGCCUACGGGAGGCAGCAGUGGGGAAUUUUGCGCAAUGGGCGAAAGCCUGACGCAGCCAUGCCGCGUGGAUGAUGAAGGUCUUAGGGUUGUAAAAUCCUUUCACCGGUGAAGAUAAUGACUGUAGCCGGAGAAGAAGCCCCGGCUAACUUCGUGCCAGCCGCCGCAGUAAUAC